UACGUAGGGGGCAAGUGUUGUCCGGAAUCAUUGGGCGUAAAGCGCGUGUAGGCGGUUCGAUAAGUCUGCUGUGAAAGUCCAGGGCUCAACCCUGGAAAGCCGGUGGAUACUGUCAGACUAGAGUGCGGAAGAGGCGAGUGGAAUUCCCGGUGUAGCGGUGAAAUGCGCAGAUAUCAGGAGGAACACCAAUUGCGAAGGCAGCUCGCUGGGACGUUACUGACGCUGAGACGCGAAAGCGUGGGGAGCAAACAGG
rnacentral:rRNA from 1 species